rnacentral:rRNA from 1 species
CCUACGGGAGGCAGCAGUGGGGAAUAUUGCACAAUGGGCGAAAGCCUGAUGCAGCGACGCCGCGUGAGGGAUGACGGCCUUCGGGUUGUAAACCUCUUUCAGCAGGGAAGAAGCGAAAGUGACGGUACCUGCAGAAGAAGCGCCGGCUAACUACGUGCCAGCAGCCGCGGUAAUACGUAGGGCGCAAGCGUUGUCCGGAAUUAUUGGGCGUAAAGAGCUCGUAGGCGGCUUGUCACGUCGGAUGUGAAAGCCCGAGGCUUAACCUCGGGUCUGCAUUCGAUACGGGCUAGCUAGAGUGUGGUAGGGGAGAUCGGAAUUCCUGGUGUAGCGGUGAAAUGCGCAGAUAUCAGGAGGAACACCGGUGGCGAAGGCGGAUCUCUGGGCCAUUACUGACGCUGAGGAGCGAAAGCGUGGGGAGCGAAACAGGAUUAGAUACCCUGGUAGUCCACGCCGUAAACGUUGGGAACUAGGUGUUGGCGACAUUCCACGUCGUCGGUGCCGCAGCUAACGCAUUAAGUUCCCCGCUGGGGAUACGGCCGCAAGGCAAAACUUAANGAAUGACGNNGAGAGNGCGACGACGACGACGAGGGAGAGG